AGCCUUGAAAGGAGAGGCUAAUUUGAGAGAAGAUGAUGUGGGUGGAGAUGCAGUCUAGAGGAAGCAUGCCAAGGAAGAAGCCCUGAGGGUCAGCAGGCUGGGAGGCAGUGCUCUGUAGAAAGUGGGGAAGAAUUCUGCUGCGUGCAGGAGAUGAUGAACCUGCAGACAACCUAGCCCAGGAAGGGUAGAAGAGUUUGUUCCCUUGUUUUGUACUUUGGGAGAGAGACACCUAAGAAGAGCCCAGGAGGGCUGGAAGACCUUUGUUUGUUACCUUUGACUUUUUGGACAUCAGUUCUAACACCUUCUGGCACACCCAGUGAGCGACAUGACUGGAAGACCAAGUCACCCUUCCCAACCACUAAGGCUUGAAGGUGGAAUAGAGUGCAGUUGCAGGUCUUGCCACGAGCGGAUGAUUUGAGCAUGUCUGAGCUGAUGAAGAUGCUUUAGUGGAGUUCCAUCUCCCAUGUAGCCAAGCCACAUGCCCCCGGAACAUCUUCAGUGGCAUACCUGUGGAAAGGCGCUUCUGCCCAGAAGGCUCCUGUCCCCUACAGCCAACAUGCCAUGCCAUGGGCUGCUGAAUGGAAUGAAGUUUCCUUGGAGACUAAAUGAAAAAUUCUCUUUCCUCCCUACGACAGGAUCUCAACCCUCCCAGAGUAGAGAUCUGCAUGGAAGUUGCUGUGAGGAAAGAGAAGUCCUGCCCCAGAUUAGCACUGAGAUAAUAAACAGGGACAUUGUUUGGAA